rnacentral:rRNA from 1 species
UACGUAGGCAGCGAGCGUUGUUCGGAGUUACUGGGCGUAAAGGGUGUGUAGGCGGUUCUUUAAGUUUGGUGUGAAAUCUCCCGGCUCAACUGGGAGGGUGCGCCGAAUACUGAGGGACUAGAGUGCGGGAGAGGAAAGUGGAAUUCCUGGUGUAGCGGUGAAAUGCGUAGAUAUCAGGAGGAACACCGGUGGUGUAGACGGCUUUCUGGACCGUAACUGACGCUGAGACACGAAAGCGUGGGGAGCAAACAGG